rnacentral:rRNA from 1 species
UACGAGGGGGGCAAGCGUUGUUCGGAUUUAUUGGGCGUAAAGGGUGCGUAGGCGGUUUGGCAAGUCUCGUGUGAAAUCUUCGGGCUCAACCCGAAGCCUGCACGAGAAACUACCGGGCUUGAGUAUUGGAGAGGUGAGUGGAAUUUCCGGUGUAGCGGUGAAAUGCGUAGAUAUCGGAAGGAACCCCUGUGGCGAAAGCGGCUCACUGGACAAUAACUGACGCUGAUGCACGAAAGCUAGGGGAGCAAACAGG